rnacentral:rRNA from 1 species
CCUACGGGAGGCAGCAGUGGGGAAUAUUGGACAAUGGGCGCAAGCCUGAUCCAGCAAUGCCGCGUGGGUGAAGAAGGCCUUCGGGUUGUAAAGCCCUUUUGUGGAAAGUGCGGUACCGUAAGAAUAAGCACCGGCUAACUUCGUGCCAGCAGCCGCGGUAAUACGAAGGGUGCAAGCGUUAAUCGGAAUUACUGGGCGUAAAGCGUGCGUAGGCGGUUCGUUAAGUCUGUUGUGAAAGCCCUGGGCUCAACCUGGGAAUGGCAAUGGAAACUGGCGAGCUAGAGUCAGGUAGAGGGUGGUGGAAUUCCCGGUGUAGCGGUGAAAUGCGUAGAGAUCGGGAGGAACAUCUGUGGCGAAGGCGGCCACCUGGACCAUACUGACGCUGAGGCACGAAAGCGUGGGGAGCAAACAGGAUUAGAUACCCUUGUAGUC